rnacentral:misc_RNA from 1 species
AGAUAAGAUUAAGUGUUUGGGCACAGAAUAUGGUAUUCCUUUGCUUGGCUACACUGUAGUUCGAGUAAGGGGGUGUUAUAGGUGAGACAUGCAUUAGUCGUUUCAAGUUUCAAGAAUUUCUCCUAACUGUCAAAAUCCAUUUGUGACAGAUUAGUAGUUAUGAAUUUUGUUUGAUUAACUUAGCCUUAACCAAAAAAGUAAUUUUUACAAGUAAAUCACCUAAAACCAUUGAGCCUAUUCAAUACGUUCAGUCCAACAAACCCAUGAGAGAACAAUUGUUUGCUUUUUAG